AUUGAACGCUGGCGGCAGGCCUAACACAUGCAAGUCGAACGAGUGGCAGACGGGUGAGUAAUGUCUGGGAAACUGCCUGAUGGAGGGGGAUAACUACUGGAAACGGUAGCUAAUACCGCAUACCAUCAGAAGUGCCCAGAUGUGAUUAGCUUGUUUGUGGGGUAACGGCUCACCAAGGCGACGAUCCCUAGCUGGUCUUAUAGGAUGACCAGCCACCCUGGAACGGAGACACGGUCCAGACUCCUACGGGAGGCAGCAUUGGGGAAUAUUUCACAAUGGUCGCAAGCCUGAUGCAGCCAUGCCGCGUGUAUGAAGAAGGCCUUCGGGUUGUAAAGUACUUUCAGCGGUGAGGCGUGAACCGAAGAAGAAGCACCGGCUAACUCCGUGCCAGCAGCCGCGGUAAGUC
rnacentral:rRNA from 1 species